GGACUACCCGGGUAUCUAAUCCUGUUUGCUCCCCACGCUUUCGCACCUCAGCGUCAAUAUCUGCCCAGAUCGCCGCCUUCGCCACUGGUGUUCCUCCCGAUAUCUACGAAUUUCACCUCUACACCGGGAAUUCCGCGAUCCUCUUCAGUAUUCAAGUCCAGUAGUUCGGAAAGCACUUCCUCGGUUAAGCCGAGGGAUUUCACUCCCCGCUUGCUGGACCGCCUACGUGCGCUUUACGCCCAAUGAUUCCGAGCAACGUUUGCACCCUCCGUAUUACCGCGGCUGCUGGCAC
rnacentral:rRNA from 1 species